UACCGCCCACUGGUUUCACCGGAAACAGUCACCCCAUCCAGUCAGUCAGUCAGACAACUGCGGCAACUGAAAUCCACGAAAACCAACAGCGAUCAUCAUCCAGUCAUCAAAUCAGCUCAGCUCGAAAUGUCAUUACUCAUCAUCCAGCACACAAGAACAAGAACCAGAACAGAACAGAACCUUCAACUCCAUUCAAAAGUCAAUCAGCCAAAAGGCAGUUCGCAUAACAAACCAACCAAACCGACGAAAUGCAUCUAACCAAAAUGUCUGUGGGCGAAAAUUCCAAGGGUGGCGAUGGUCAUGGUACACAGGGUGUAGUGUAAAUCAAAACGUUGGCUACCCCAUCAAUGGGGCGCUGCAGUAGGCGCUGCAAGGCACCCAAACACCGAAAGCCAUUUAAAUGUCCUGUCAAGGCGUAACAUGAGCAACUCCCAAAGGGGCGGGGAGGUGGAAGGCUGGGCGGCAGGAGGAGGGCGACUCGGAGAGAGAGGGAAAGGACAUAAAAACUUCAUGCAGAGGAAAAACAGUUUUGGUUUCAAAUUUUUACCAAAUAAAUUCAGGGUAUAUCGGCUCUGAGAGGGGGAGGCCUCAAAACAAAUUGGCAAAUAUAAAAUAUUUUUUAUCCAUCAGAGCAUAGAAAUGUAUUUAACCAAAGAUGGUUGACACUGCUCUAUAGGAAAUGAAUUAUUUGCAUUUGUUAAAAAAGUUAUUACUAAUGUAUAUCAAAAGUAACAUUGUAAUCAGUAACUAUAGAAGUUACCAUUGCUUUUAAAAAUACAAUGCAUAGAAAAUUGGGAUAUUUUUAAAGUUAAAAUUAAGUGAAACUAAAAGUUAUUAAGAGUUUUUCUCUGUGCUUGCAACUAGCACGCAAAACAAACAAAACUGGUUAAACUUCUUUAGUUUAGCCUGUCCUCUUGUGGCCUCGAGUUGCAAAUUAAAUUUCACACACACCGUGGCACAUAUCAGCGCGCACACACACACCAGGACACUUUCUGGCUAACACAGUCACACACUAAUACUGGCUAAAAUGGGGAAAGCGCAUUGCCUGCUUUUCUGCGUAAUUAGUGAAAUUCGGCAACAGGGCGAACUUGCAGAAAAGUGCAAGAAGCAUAUACACAGCCAUGCAACCUUAACACCCCUUUCGCCUUAACCCUUCGGUAUCCACGCUCAUUAACAGAAAAGCCAAGCGCACCGAAAUUCUAAAAAACGAGAGCCGACAGGGAUGCACUUCAUAAAUGUCACUUGAAAUACAUUUCCAUCAGGCACGUGCGUGGAGGCGAGAGAUGGGAUAGCAACCGACAAUGGGUUAAGGCGGGGAUUCUGAGGGACGAUGGGUAGUGAAUGGCAGACAGGACACAAUAGAGAAAGGGACUCUGUCUGGCCUUGCUUACAAAAAACACGGGCACAAACGAAACGAAACGUGAACGUGAUGAUUUGUCAUGAUUAACGCGAGGAAAAGGGGAUCUCCAUUGAAAAGCGGGACUUCCCCCCCCACCGCAUUAAUGUUUUGCAUUCCCUUUGUUUGUCCUGCGUGAUGUGAUGUGCCCACAUGUCAAUGUCGUGGGGGUACAGUCUCUCUCUCUUCCUCUCUCUCUCCCUCCUUCUGGCCUUAUCCUUCUGCCUCACGGAGUCAUAAAAUUGAAAUUGUUUCCCUCAGCUUUCUUUUCAGUUUGCAAGACUCCGCUUUACGGGUUUGUUUUUAAUUUUGUGAUUUUUGCUGGGCACGCAACAAACGAAAAUAGCAACAAAAUGGUUGAAUAGCCACAAAAUAUACACUCUGCUACAUGUAUUUGGCACUUAACACACUUCCACCCACACACAACCACACAUCCACCCACUCGGCUUUUGAUUUCGCCUCUUACUUUGCCUUUGUUCUCUCACUCCUUCUCCGCCCCUCUUUCUCUCUCUCUCUCUUUCUAUUCAUCUCUCUUUCUAUCCAUCUCUCUUUCCGUCUUUGUAGCCCCUCUCUUUCCAUUGUAGUCCCACACAAACACACGUGACGUAUACGUAACCUUGUAACCAAAAUGUUGUUAUUUCGGUCCGCCAUUUCCAUGUGUUUGUGUGUGUGUGUGUGCGUGGGUGAGCAAAAGUUCUUGGCAUUAUUUUAAGUGUUCUGCUCACCUGCGCUCUCUUUCUCGUAUUCCUUCUCUGCCUCGCUCUCUUUCUCUCUCUCUCUUUAUCUCUCUUGGCAUCAUUUCUCAAAUUUAUACAAAUCUUUGUUUUACUACAAGCCUUAAAAUAUGUAAAUGUAUGUUUUGUGUCUUAAUGUUGUUUGUGUAAUCGUUUAAUUAUAGUAUAUAGUAUAGUUUUCUACACUCGCUUUGUACUUUCGUUUUACUUUGUGACCCCACACACACCCACAUACACACACACUCACGAAAUGUUUGUUAAACUUUAAACUUAGCAUUUUGAACGGAACGCUGAUUUUUGAACUCCUUUUUCUUACUGUUCUUACAUAAUCAAAAAGUAAUAUAUAACAUUUAACCAACACACCAAAGAGCAAACCUUAGAAAUCAAAGUAAAACAUUUAUCGCAAAUCAGAAAGUAAAACCUCAACUGAAUUGAUCAGAUACGAAUUAACAAACCAUUAGUGAACUGUGAUCUGUUUAGCAUACAAGAAUAAUUCUUUUGUCAUUUUAUUGCUAAAAGAUGCAGAUGAUUUUUUCACGAAACUUAUCGAUUGUAAUGGCUCCAAUAAUUGGCUUAAUGAACCAAAAUUAAAUCCACACAAAAACGUCAUAAAACGUAGGCAACCAGUCUUGAAUAAUAAAUUACCAAUCAAGCGACGCAAUUAAUGAAUUCAAAGUAUAUAUUUGUUUCCAGAAUUGAUCUUUUUUAAUUACAUCAAAAACAUAUAUUUUGUUGUUGUUCUAAAAGCGAUCCCCAAAAAAAAAACAAACAAAAAUUGAAGAAAUGCUAUGACAAAUAUGAAAACAAAUUUGUUUACCAAGAAUCGAAAAGAACGUAUGCAACUAUUUACAAUAUGCUUUUGUAAUAUUUUCGCACGAUACCAAAAAAUAACAUCAACAUAAAUAUAAAUAACAAAAAAAGGACCAAAGGGAAAGCAAUAACAAAUUGAUUAAUACUUCGAGUAGACGGAAGAAAGGAAAGAAAAGAUGAAAAAGGCAAAUCUUUCAUUUACUGACAACUUUUUGACGAUAAAAUGAUAAAACAAUUAUGACGUGUAUAUAUAUCCACAAUAUGGCUAACAAACAUAUGAAUAUAUACUCCUACCUCUCUGUUUCUGUCUCUCUUACUCCCACUCACUCUCUUCCUCUCUCUCUCUCUCUGUCUCUGUCGCUCUUUAUAUAUAUAUUCGAAUAUCUUCAAAUUCAAUUACAUAUAUAUAUACAUAUACAUAUAUAAAUAUGUUACUCUUCAGUAUGUUGUUUUUGAUAUUGAUUGCGUUAUUCCGCUUACUACAGACCGAGACCCCGAAACCCCCGAUCUUCCGACCCGCCACCCACCAAAAAGCCCAGAUUCCAAGCCCAUCUCGAGGCCGAAAAAUAGGCAACAAUUGUUGUCGUGUCGUUGCACCUGACUCACACACAUUCACAUGUGUCCGUGUGCGCUCGUGUUUGUGUAUGAUAUAUUACUUUUUGGUUUUUGUAAAUACCGAACGUACCAACUAUCUUACAAACGUUGACCGGAUCCACUUGAACUCGAAAUCAAAAUCGAAAUCAAACUCGAACUCUCACACAACACGCAAUGCAACAACUACAACACUCUCCUCAUGAUGGGUUCCACUCGCACACACACUCAAAACACACACAGUUCCGACCCUCUCUCACCAACACUCCUACACUGGAAUAUACACUUUGUUUAAGGAAAGAAUUAAGAAAAGAAGUGAUAUUCUGCUCUGUCUGACACGACACACACAUCUUGCGUUCUUUUCUCUCUCUCUAUAAGUCUCUUUGUAACCGUCUCUCUCUAACUCAAGCUCAAUCUCAAUCUCAAUCUCUGACUGUCUCUUUUACACACACAUUCUCUCUCUCUCUUUCACUGUCUGUCUAAACAACUAUAUGAAUAUAUAUUUUGUUUGUUUAUCCAACACACCGAACCAAAUUAUUUAACAAAUAUACUUUUGCACGUUAUUUCUAUAAUGCAUCUGAACUAUAUAUUGUUAUACGAAUAUUUAUGUUUCUUUUCUGCGUACAAACAAAAUACCGAAAGCAAAUUGUACAAAACAAAAAUACCGAAAUACUAAAGUACUCAAAUACCCAAGAAUAUACCUGAGAAAUACGAAAUCAGAAUCCGAGUUGCAUUUGUAUGCCGCGUCGAUCACACGAACCAAGUCAAAUACAGCAACACAUUCACAGAUAUAUUCACCCAGACACAGACACACUUACAGGGCCACCCAUACACGUUCAGUUACAAAGAUACAGGCAUCCACACAUAAAUAGAUACAAGAACAAGCCACAUCCUCGUGGCUGUCAACCAAGUGACACACAUUUCAUGUUGCGCCUCCUCUUCGCCCCGAAACCACCGAAACCACACCCCCUUUUCGCAGACACACACACACCCACACCACUCACACAGACACAUUCACACACACACACCUAAGCCCAACCCCCCGCCCUUGUUGAACUUUUUUUGGGUGCCUACAAGAGCCGUUGAAAGUGCCUCAGAACUAACUAUAUAACUAACCAUAUAAAGCCGAACGAAAGUUAACCAAUGGAAACACGAAAAGCGAACCAAACCAAACCAAACAGUACCGAAAAAUCAUAACUCAUAAUCAACCAAUCUCAUUCUAUUACAAAACCCUAUUGUAAAUUAAGCGCAAAAGUGUAAAAAGUCGAACAAGAAACAAUCUGAAGAACUUGUAGAAAAACAACAAAAAUAAUGAUAACAAGAACUAAGCAAAUAAAUCACGUUUCAAAUGUGGGGCCAGAAUAGUCCAUAGAUAGCUAAUGUUUGUUAAGCCACGAUCAUGAUCAAGAAAUCAAGAGCAAAAGCUGCCAAAAGCUGUGUGAGCGAUACCGCAUCGAAGCCGGAAAAUCGAAACAGAUAACAGAUAACACCAGACCCAACAACAGACCCAAAAA